UAAUAAUCCCAAAUAGACUGACGGAGGUUUCUUCUCUGAAUCAGAAGAAUCUUAUUCGCCGCGAUUAGAAGUUCUCCGUUAGAUUUAUUUAUGAAUCUGCCAUGAUUGCACUUCGAGAUUCUGGGUUCUGAUGGACCGUCUUUUACUCAGGUCUGAAUUGAGGCAAAACAAUGGGAUAACUGGAUUCAUCUCAAUACUUUCCGUAUACAUGCGUUGUUGGUGAUUAUGGUGAUAUAAAUCUCUAGGACAUAUUGGAACCGCAGAUUUUCUCAGGAUUUGGAGAGGGCAUCUUGGGCUUAGGUUGGAGUAUGGGUUUUAGUCUCAGAAGGCUGUACAUUGAGAAAACCCUUAGUAUUUCUUGAUUACCAGACCUCGAUAUGUCUGUUGAAGUUAUGUCAGCGUUAAAGACACCAUAUUUAGGGGGGGAUAAGUUUUCUGACGGAGAAACAAAGUGCUUAUCCAAUAUUAGAAGCGAAAAAAAGUUCUUUGGUGUGGCAUCGUCAUAAUGCAGACCCAGACUUUGGUUCUUGUCAAGCAAAGGAACUACCGAACCAUCUAGAAACCGUUCUCCUGAAUGAACCGGUUGUUGUCAACAGAGGCCACCAGAUCGUUGAUGUUAAGCCUCAGGCAGACAAACACUGUUGACCACUUCUCAGCUGCUCAAAUAUGCUAAACUCCUUACUUGGCAAACAACAAGAGUUCACUCCUCAGCUCGCUGAAGUUAAACUCAAAUCAGAAACAGAGCAUCCUCAUAUCGACUAAAGUAUCUCUCUUUGGCUUCUGAACUGCUCAAUGCUUGGUUGCCUAACACUCACUCCCAAGGCGCAUUUUUUACUGUUUGCUGUCAUCUUCUUAUUUACUCCUUGCAGAGAGCUCUGCUGAGAGUUUAUUUGUACCGUUUUGAUCGCAACAUUGUAACCAUUUUCAAGCUAAAUCGA